UCCAACAAAAGGUAUCCCGUCGAUGAGUAUGGCUUAUAGCCAGACUCUGAAUCAUUUGUAUAUCCUCUUGGUCAACAUAUUGUUUCUGUAGUCGAGCGUCCCACUCUUUUGAUUUAAAAUCAAUAAGAUUAUUGACCGUCAUCUUUGGAUGUACUAAUGGAGCUUUAGGACAGGCCGGUCUUACCGAAGUAGAUGGGAUCCAUGGAUUCUGC
rnacentral:lncRNA from 1 species